rnacentral:rRNA from 1 species
UUGACCUCGGAUCAGGUAGGAAUACCCGCUGAACUUAAGCAUAUCAAAAGGCGGAGGAAGG